rnacentral:rRNA from 1 species
CACGUAGGGCGCAAGCGUUGUCCGGAAUUAUUGGGCGUAAAGAGCUCGUAGGCGGUCUGUUGCGUCCGCUGUGAAAACUCGGGGCUUAACCCCGAGCCUGCAGUGGAUACGGGCAGACUAGAGGUAGGUAGGGGAGAAUGGAAUUCCCGGUGUAGCGGUGAAAUGCGCAGAUAUCGGGAGGAACACCAGUGGCGAAGGCGGUUACCUGGAGCUUUGCUGACGCUGAUGCGCGAAAGCGUGGGGAGCGAUCCGG